AUGAUUUGGUCGUCAGUUGAGCAGGUUAUAUGUACAGUUGAAAUGGUGCACACAGAGAUGGUAGUGCUGCCAGAAGCUGGUCCGCACUGUCCUACACCUAGCUGGGCAACGUUUGCACUGCCAGAUGCGGAGCAGUCGUGGCUAGCGAUUGUGGUCAUAAAGUUGAAUGGUCGUCCAUAUCAUGUACAUAUUUUAGAUACUGAAACUUUUACCUGGAGCCAGCCUAUAACUACUGGUAAAGCACCUUCACCUCGUGCUGCCCAUGCUUGUGCAACUGUCGGAAACAAAGGCUUUGUGUUUGGAGGCAGAUACCGAGAUGCUAGAAUGAAUGACCUUCACUAUCUUAAUCGGGAUACAUGGGAGUGGAAUGAAUUAAUUCCACAAGGCAUAUGCCCAGUUGGCCAAUCUUGGCACUCACUAACACCAGUUUCUUCAGAUCAUCUUUUUCUCUUUGGAGGAUUUACCACUGAUAAACAGCCACUAAGUGAUGCCUGGACUUACUGCAUCAGCAAAAAUGAAUGUAUACAGUUUAAUCAUCCAUAUGCUGAAAAACCAAGGUUAUGACACACAGCUUGUGCCAGUGAUGAAGGAGAAGUAAUUGUUUUUGGUGGAUGUGCCAACAACCUGCUUGUCCAUCACAGAGCUGCACACAGUAAUGAAAUACUAAUAUUUUCAGUUCAACCCAAAUCUCUUGUACGGCUAAGUUUAGAAGCAGUCAUUUGUUUUAAAGAAAUGUUAGCCAACUCAUGGAACUGCCUUCCAAAACACUUACUUCACAGUGUUAAUCAGAGGUUUGGUAGUAACAACACUUCUGAAUCUUAAGGCUUCAUAAAUAAUGCCUCUGAUCACCUUGCAUGGACAGCAAUCCUGUAAACAUCACAGAGUUGUCAUCAUUUGUAUAAUUACAUGCAUUGUUGUAGUUUGCAACUUUUGGUUUUAACGUGCAUGUGAAUGGCCUAGAGAACCUAUUUUUGUGUCUAAAGUUUACAAUAAAUAUAUUUAACACC